AAUUCUGCUGUAGAAAUUACAAGUUAAAAGCCGUGAAAAUGUUCAGCCAACGUUUAGUAAUUGUUUUUAUUGCAUUAAUUUCAUUUUCUUACUCGCAGUACACCUCGCGAGGUCAAUGUAGUGAUCGAGACAGAAUUAAUGUAAGCGCGGUACAAUUAUUCAACUUGCAGCGGUUUGCAGGAAAUGGGGCGGCAUGGUACCCUGUUAUUGCAUACAACAACAACCUCAAUUGCCAAACCGUGUAUUUUACCUUAACCAGUAGUGACACUAUGGAUGUGGUUUACGUACAAAAGAUUUAACCACCGGCGCAUGGUCUAGACAGAAACGACAAGCAAAAUGGGUUCGACCUUCUUAUAGACAAGGGAUUAUAAGUGUGGAUUACUCCGAUGUUGGCGAGCCUUUGGUAUAUAAAAUUGUUGGAAUGGUUUAUGAUGAAUUCACUAUUCAUUACAGUUGCAUCAAUCUGGAUAAAGAAAACAGACAGGAAUUUCUGCAUGUGAUGAGCCGGAACAGAAGUUUGACAUCAGAUCAAAGAACUAGGAUUAGUCGGAUUCUUGAAAGGCAACAUCUGAAUGGAACAAUGGUGAAUGUUGUACAGGACCCAGCAGUUUGUUAAAUAUAAAAUAACAAUGACAUUUAUUUUGUGAAAAACUGAUUUCAAUUAAAUUUGAUAGCAAUGUGAA